rnacentral:miRNA from 1 species
UCUAUCAUUUGAGUACCAUGA